UUGACCUCAAAUCAGGUAGGACUACCCGCUGAACUUAAGCAUAUCAAUAAGCGGAGGAAAAGAAACUAACAAGGAUUCCCCUAGUAACUGCGAGUGAAGCGGGAAAAGCUCAAAUUUUGAAUCUGGCGGUCUUCCCAGGCCUCCGAGU
rnacentral:rRNA from 1 species